UUCUUUUAACAAAUUAACAAUGUGGGUUCGAGUAUGUGUAUGAAUACAUUAACGUGAGCAUGUAUUUAAACAACAGAGGUUGAAUGCAAGUAUUGUGAAGCAGAUGUUAGGUGGAAAAAUAUAGUAUGGACCAAAGGAUUAUUUUUUGAAAAUUUUGGAACUAAAAUAGAUAUUAUAAAAGUUCAAGACCAAAAUGGUUAUUGUUUUAAGCUCAAAGACUAAAAUGGAACAAAUCAAAAGUUCUACUCUAAAUAUCCAACGAUAUAUGCUUUCCAUUUAUCAACGUUUUGAGGUAGUCGUGGGAAUUAUCUGAUAUUAAAAAGUCUUACCUGCAAGAGCAAGAAAUAAAGAUGAACUGUGAUAAAGAUAUUGAGAUUUACAUUAGUGCACCCCCAAUAAGACGUGUGUUUAUCUUUGUUACGUAGCUUUUAGCGAGAAUCAGAAGAAAAUUACAACCCAUCUCAUGCUUAUCCUUCUAAAAUACUGUAGAAAACUGCAUGCAGUUUAAGAAAUCUCGUUUCUUUGACCCCAUGUUUGUAUUGCACCUAAAUUGGCUGCUUAUGAUUGUGCCUUAUUAGUGUGAGCUUCCAAAGACUUUGGAGGAAAAAUUUAAUUGCAACAUUGUUUUUGGUCUGAUAACUAUUUGAUUCUAUAUUUUACUUGUGUUCCUGAAACCCCAUACUCAUUUAAGACUUGGGUAGUAGAAAAAAUGAAGGCAAUUCGUCGUUUUGUUACUGUUAAAUUAUAUUUACUAUCUUUUAAUUUUCUUUUUAAUUUUCUAUUUAGGAGGGUUUCCUUGUUCUAAUAGGUAAGUGUUUACUUAUCCUAAUAGGCAUGGGUCUCGUUCUCUUUUCUUCUUUGUAGUUGCUAUUUAUACUCUUGUAUCAACUCUUUAAAGUAUUAAGUAAAUUUAUAAUUAUUUUUCUUAUCAAUUAACAUGGUAUCAGAGCGAGAGGUGUCCUGUGUUUGAACCCCUCCAUUGUUGUUUCCUCCCCAUUUAUAAUGAUUUCCACUUGUUGGGUCUUGUGCAAUUAUCCAAGCCCACGAGUGAGGUGGAGUACUGAGAAUCCAUAUAAAUGAAUUAAGUUUACCCAACCCAUCAGUUUAAGCUUUUGGGUUGGGUGGUGGUUUAUUCAUCAUUAACGGUUACAUCUGGUGGCUCUCAAUUUUUUCAUUAGGCCAAUGGUAUAGCAAUCUUUAGGUGUGCGAGCAUUAGAUAGUGCAUUAGUUAAUGACAUUAAGAAAUGAUUUAGAAAGAUUCCAAAAUAUUAUGUCCCCAAAGUCAUAUAUUACAUAAGACUUUUGAAAAUCAUGAUAUCUUGUGGCUCUUUCAUUUUGCAUGAAUGUUUGAUCCUGCAUUGGUUGGAAUGCCCAUGUUAUUUCACUAGGAUAUCUGCCUGGAUUACUUUUUCUUUUAAGUUAGUGAAUGGGAGAAGAUGAGUAGGCAAGGUGUUACCCUCAUGUGUUACUGGAAUGGGAAAGAGAACUAGUGGACCACAUGGCAUUUCUUCUGAAGGUGCUGCACCAAAGCCCAUCCGAGUUAGCUACGGCAUAACACACGAGUUGAUGGAUAGGAUCUAUGGGGUUACUGGAUUCAACAAGAAACCGUUUAAAUUGAAGAUAAUAUGUCGGUAUCCAGCCUGUAGAGAAUACAUACCUGUGCCAAUUGAUGACGAUGAGUCCGUAGAUAUCAUGUUUGACGUGGCACGACAACCAGGAACUAAUUGUCUGGAGCUAUAUGUUGAAAGAGAGCCACCCUGCGAUCAUAACCCAUAAAUGUUGCAGAACCAACCACUGUUGAUAACCAGACAACAGACGAGAUGGCCACACGUGAUGCCCAAGUUGAAAGCCUUUUAGAUCCGGGACCAGUAGACAAAUCUGUUCUUGUUCUACAAAAUCAGCAUAGAUUUGAAGCCAUAUGGGCGGGGGAGGGACCUAGUGUGUUAACUUGUAGACAGCGACUAGCAGCAAUGAUCAAAGAUUGGCAAUUGGAUCAUUGUGUCCGUCAACUUAUCAUCAAGGUUGGAUUUUAUGGGGUACAUAGGGUUGGGUUCUUACAAAUUGAUUGGCCUUUGAUAACAGCAUUGGCUGAGAGGUGGCAGCAAGAAACUCAUACUUUCCAUUUUACGAUUGGUGAGAGUACUGUCACACUACAAGAUGUAGCAUUAUUGUUAGGUUUACGAAUAAAUGGCUGGGUAGUUGACUGGAAAUACUGAUCUCCAGUGUGAGGAGCUAUUAGGCUUGAGGCCUGAUGCAAGUGGGCUCCAUGGUUCAGCCCUUAAGGUUAGUUGGUUGCAAGCUCAUUUCCAUGAGCCUCCACCCAAUGCAGAUGAGGUUACAUUACAACGCUAUGGGCGUAUAUUUUGGGUUUGAUGGGUGGUGUUCUCUUCCCAGAUAAGUCCGGAGCUGAUGUCCAGUUGAUAUUCCUACCUUUUCUGAGAGAUUUGUCAAGUGUGGAGCAAUUUAGUUGGGGAACUGCAGUCCUCGCUCAUUUAUAUAGGGAGAGGGAGCUUUGCCGAGGUAGUAAGAAAGGGGCCAAUGAGAUUUCUGGCCCUCUUAUUCUGUUGCAGAUAUGGGCAUGAGAACAUUUAAAGAUUGGCCGGCCAGAAAGGUUGGUUAGUAAAGGGCAAAGAGAAGGUAUCCAGUAAAGGACAAAGAGAAGUUAUACGGGAUAUGAAGGUUGAGAAGAACAGGACUUCCAUUGUCGGGGAUUCUAUUUUAGAUGACGAACAAUUACCAGCAGAUCCAUUAGGAUGCAGGUAUGUCUCUGCUGUUGGAUUGAAGUGCACAUCACUUUUACUCCACUAUUCAUUCUAGAGAGAUUUGUUUUCUAUUGUAUUAGAUGGCGGGCACCUGUAAUUGGUAGAGAUAAUCCCCACAGAGCAUUAAUAUUUUACAGGGACCAGCUGGAUCAGCAAACAGAUAGGUUCUUGAUUUUA